AUAAGAUUGAGUUUUGUUUGUUUUAAUGCAUCUAUUUUUGUUGUUGCUAAAACAGUUCAACCUCGUGAAGAAGAGAUAACAUACGCUGAUCCUACAUUCCUCAAAAGAAAAAUACAUAAAUCGAACGUUAAAGAGGAAGAUCAUGUUGAGUAUGCGCCUAUUGCCACGAGAUGAUGAUCAAACUUCAGUUCUUCUCUAAGCGCCAACAACCUCAGGUUCAGAGUCUAUGCUUGAGUUUCGGGAUUGAUUACAGUCACCACAUGAUGACAAAAUUGCAGCAGACGUGCAGUAGGAUCAUUCAAAGGGGUUUGAAGUGUGGUACUUAAAGCUGGAUUCAUGAAAUGAUCUCCUAAAAGCUUCUGAAGAGUUUGACUUUUUAACAAAUUAUCUAAAUCAUAUGGCACAUUGGAGCAUUUUCAUGUUUUAAAAAGACUGUGUAAAUCUCUUUUUUUUUUUUAAAAAAAGAAAGAAAGAAAGAAAGAAAAGAAAAAAAAGAAAGUGCAAAACGUAGAUGCAAAAUAAUCACCAAAAGGAGUUGAGACCCUGCUGUGGUCUCAUUUAUUCACAUCUGUACAGAAAAGUGGUUGAUCUGUUGGACAGUUAUGCAUGAGCUUGUAACUGCUAGAUGUUUCUGUUUAAUGUCAGUGUGUGAGAGUGUCUGAGGUGUCAAUAUUGUGUGGUUGAAGGGCUUUUUUUCCAUUCCUACUCACAUGAAACUGUGUGACUUCUGCUUUUGACAAAACUUGCUUGUAACAUCAAAGUCCUAAUGAUAAACACUUUGAUAACAAAUUGAUGACACCACUUAUGGUUUUAUAUGAGGUAUGCACAUAUGGGACGUCCCCUAUAAGAAGUCACUAAGUCUGUAUAUUAUAUCAGGCUGAGUUGACUUCAACAUUUAAAGGGUUAGUUCACCCAAAAAUUAAAUUUCUGUCAUUAAUUACUCAUUCUCCUGUAGUUCCACACCCGUAAGACCUUCGUUAAUCUUCAGAACACAUGAAAUCCAAGAGGUUUUUUUUUAUCUCCCAGAAAGCAACAUAAUUACCUCAUUCAAGGUCCAGAAAAGUAGUAAAGACACUGUUAAAAUAGUCAACGUGACUGCAGUGGUUAAAUCUUAAUGUUAUGAAGCGACGAGAAUACUUUUUGUGCUCAACAAACAAAAUAAAAAUAACUUUAUUCAACAAUCUCUUCUCUCCUGUCAUUCUCCUACACUGUUUACAUUGUAUAGACAGUGCAGGCUUCCGUGUAUUACAUCAGAACGCUGUCUCAUUAUUGGCUGGCUGCUGCAUCAGCAUCACACGCAUGCGUUCACAAGAACAGCUUCGGCCAGUACUGUGUUCUGACGUAGAACCCAGAUUAAUGAACAAAACAUGCUUCAGACAGAGAUGGGGGACGAAACGAAUGCGUCUGAAAGCAAACAAAUUCUUCCUAAGAGUUUUUUUUAAUACACUUAUUGGUAGUUCUUAUAAAGCUGUAUGUUUCAAAUAAAUUCUCAUAUCAUGCA